GACGGGGGGAGCAAGCGUUGUUCGGAUUUACUGGGCGUAAAGGGCGUCUAGGCGGGUUGGCAAGUCAGAUGUGAAAUCCCCCGGCUCAACCGGGGAGCUGCAUUUGAUACUGCCAAUCUUGAGUACGGAAGAGGAAAGCGGAAUUCCAGGUGUAGCGGUGAAACGCGUAGAUAUCUGGAAGAACACCGGUGGCGAAGGCGGCUUUCUGGUCCGAUACUGACGCUGAAGCGCGAAAGUGUGGGGAGCGAACAGG
rnacentral:rRNA from 1 species